GAACAUAUGGCUUAGUGGUCAGAGCGCUUGUACGGUUUCCAAGAGAUGUGGGUUCUAGUCCCGCUACGUUUA
rnacentral:tRNA from 1 species